AUGAUCUUAUCGACCAAUACCCUUUUUUUCAGAAUAAAAGAAUUCGAUGACCUAUUAAAUUCGGAAGAAAUAGAUCUGAAAACAUUAAGGAAGCUCUGCUUUAAUGGAGUUCCAGAUGAACAGGGCAGAAGGGCGUUAUGCUGGAAGCUUCUGCUCAAUUACUUACCACCAACUCAUUGUACAUGGAGUGAAACCUUAAGUAGGAAGAGAGAAUUGUACAGACAAUUUAUUGAGGAAAUGAUUGUGAUGCCAGGAGUUGCAGAUGAUGAUGACUCAUGUCGAACUGAUGUUACAUUGACAGAUCAUCCUCUGAAUUUAAAUCCUGACAGCAAGUGGCAAACUUUUUUCAAGGAUAAUGAAGUUCUCUUGCAAAUAGACAAAGAUGUUAGGAGGCUAUGUCCUGAUAUAUCAUUUUUCCAACAAGCCACUGAUUUUCCAUGUCAGCAAGUAGUUCAUAGUAAAGGCGUAAAACGCCUUCAUAGAAGAGUUCAACAUACAGUGUUAAAAUCUGCAAAUGUCGAGAGGAAAGGCCUUGGAAUUACAAAGAUAGCACUCUCCAUUAAAAAAGCGCCAGAAGAUUAUGCACCAAUGGCAGAAGGCAUGGAAGCUCACUGGGAAGUAGUGGAGCGUAUACUGUUUUUAUAUGCUAAGUUGAAUCCUGGGCAAGGUUAUGUUCAAGGAAUGAAUGAAAUCAUUGGCCCUAUUUACUAUGCAUUUGCUUCCAACCCAGAUGCUGAAUGGAGAGAAUUUGCAGAAGCAGACUGCUUUUUCUGCUUCACAAAUUUAAUGGGAGAAAUAAGAGACUUCUUCAUCAAAUCCCUUGAUGAAGCAGAAUGUGGUAUAAGUGGUAUGAUGGCACGCCUUGGUGAACAGCUUCGUAAGAGUGAUCUGCAAGUGUGGCUCCGUCUCCAGCAGCUGGAAUUGCGCCCACAAUAUUACAGUUUUAGGUGGCUGACACUACUUUUGUCUCAAGAGUUUCCUUUGCCAGAUGUCCUUAGGAUUUGGGACUCUCUAUUUGCUGAUGAGCGUCGCUUUGAUUUUCUUAUCUACAUUUGUUGCUCAAUGAUUAUAUUACUUCGUGAGGAACUAUUGACGGGUGAUUUUCCUUCAAAUGUGAAAUUACUCCAGAACUUUCCAUCAAUGGAUAUCCAAGUUGUACUGUCCAAGGCAGCAGAACUAGGUGGACUGAAAGCUUCAUGAAUUUUAUUUUGGACUGCAGAGUUGGAUAAAAACAGAAUGUCCCGAAGGCAGAACAGUGUGACAAAGUUCUCAGGGUCUUCAAGAGACUUAUAGGUGAUCUGCUCUCCCUUGUGGGACCUAAAAAGGGGAGGCAAUAUUUCUUCCAUGAACUCUUCCAUGCUCGUGGUAACAUUCUCAUUUGCUAUUUUGGAGCAGUGGCAUUUAAGUGGACACUUCUCAUAUACAAAGCUGUAUAGCUUUAAAGUGCUGUGAAAAAAUUCUUUUUUCAUUUUUGUACAGCAAUAAUAUAUUUUUGUACCAAACUUACAGACAUUUUAAUGAAAAACUGGUGUUGUUAGAGAUGUUGUUUUUGGUACUGGUUUAAGUUUAUGGUUGACUGUUAUGGUUGAAUGUUACUUAAUUCUAUUGUUAAUGUUGUAAAGAGCUCAAUAUGCAGCAUCAGAUGUUAUUACAUAAAAUCCUAUGUAAAAUAUUUUGACAAUGUUAUAUUUUGUGAAAUAUUGAAUUAUAUAACAUCACAGUAAGUUGCUGAGGUGUAGAGAUUUAUAUUGUGUGUUUUUGCACAAGGUGUAUCUGUAUCUUAUUGAUUACAAUGUUGUACAUCAUACUUGUAUUCUUUUUUCUUCAGUAAAUGAAUAUGUUGUGUCUUUGAAGAUUUAUGAAAGUUCUCGUUGCAUAAAUAUAUGUUUUGAACACGGGACAGAACUCAUACAUAGGAGGGGGGGGGAGGAGAGAGAGAGAGAGAGAGAGAGAGAAGUCUUUGUCCUUGCAAACACUUUAUAAUUUUUCCAUUUUGUAAAUAAUGGCAAGAAAUUACAGUCAAACUAAAGUAACAUUAAGCAUGUAUAAUUUGUGUUAGCUUUCAAGUACGUGAAAAUUGAGCAGAUUUAUUUUACAAGGUGCUGCCUAAAGAUACUGCAUUUUUUGUAUAUCAUAUUUGCUGCAUAGUUCUGCUGAAAACUGUCCAACAGUUUACACAGCUAUUUGACUACUGCCCUCCCCACACCUCGAAUAAAUAAAUAAACAAACAAAUGAAAUACUAAAACCUGGGAAAAUUGUGAAGAAGAUUGAGGCUUUACUAUAUUGGAUUCCAGGUUGGGAUUCUGUCUGACAGAGUGUGUUUCUUUUUUUUUUUUUUGGUGGGGGGGAAAUGAGUUUUGUUGAAAAGUAUCACUCCUUUAGAUGCUUGUGAUAUUCAUUGUUGACCUCAUGAUUAUAAGUAAAAGUUUAUGACAAUCUUUUUUCACUAUUUCUCUACUUUCUUACACUUAUGGAAGAAUGUGAAUUCAGACUGAUCAUAGUUGUGGAAGAUUGUAUGAUUGGUUAUUUAAGGUAGCGCGUAUCUAUGUUUGUGUAUGAUGUGUCCAAAGAAGAGACAUCUGCUAUAUUUCACUGCUGAAACUGCAGAUUAUAAUGAUGCUCAUUUGUUCCACUGGGUUCAGAUAUGUUUGCAUUAAGGGUUCCAUUUAGUGCAAAAGAUUGUACAAAGGUUAGACUAGUGUCUGUAAGGAAGGAUGGAUCAUACCAUCAUGCAAUAUCGUUCAAAAAGUGUUUCAUUUCUAAUGUCUUAAAGUGUUAGUUGUUAAAUACAUCAAGUUUCUGAAUGCUGAUGAAUUGCUGUUUGUUCAGCAAAUAAAUUCUUAUCUAAAUUUUUGACUUGUUGAGAAACUGAGUCAGUUUUGUACUGUGAGAAAUUGUAAAACUGCUGUUUUUCACUAUUCACAUACAAAGUUAUGACAAAAACAGUUCAUGACUUUUUUAGUGUGUUAUCUUAAGUAGAACACAGUUGAUGAAAUAUUCCUCUUUCUCUUCUGAGGUUUACAGGUUUAUUACACCAAUAAAAAAUAAUUUUACAUUGCAUUCAAGCCAUAUUAUUAUA